AGUAGCCAAAAUGUCUUCCAGUUGCUUCCUGGGAAGGUGGUGCUGGGGUUGUGUAGCCUCUCUGCUUUCUCUGGUCUCCAACUGCACCCCCGAUGAAGUGGGGACCAAAAGCGGGGGUGGAUUUUACAGAAGCUUGGUUCAGUUCCUAAAAGAGAACUCGGGUCAGGUUGCUGGGUCACUCUCUUGAGGACAGGCCAGCUGCAUGAGCUCGGGAGUCUUUAACAACAAAAUUCUGAAGAAAGGUCUAAGGAGUGUUGGUCCAAACACAAUUCCUAAGCUUUGUGUUGACAUAAGAUUCACGGAUUCCUUGGCUGCUAUCCUGUUGACGAAAGGAAAGAAUUGGUUAAAAAAAAAGGAUGUCAGAGGAGUCACUGUUGCUCUUGAAAACAACUAGCUUAUUGUAAAGACCAACCUGUCAGAGG